GAUGUAACGGGGCUCAAACUGGUUACCGAAGCUGCGGCUGUGCACGCAAGUGCACGGGGUAGGGGAGCGUUCUGUAAGCCUGCGAAGGUGUGUCGAGAGGCAUGCUGGAGGUAUCAGAAGUGCGAAUGCUGACAUGAGUAACGACAAUGGGGGUGAAAAACCCCCACGCCGGAAGACCAAGGGUUCCUGCGCAACGCUAAUCGGCGCAGGGUGAGUCGGCCCCUAAGGCGAGACCGAAAGGUGUAGUCGAUGGGAAACGGAUUAAUAUUUCCGUACCUUGGAUAGCUGCGAUGGAGAGACGGAGAAGGCUAGGUGAGCCGGGCGACGGUUGUCCCGGUUUAAGCAUGUAGGCAGUGGGAUUAGGCAAAUCCGGUCCCACAAUGCCGAGACGCGACGACGACUGCCCUUUUAGGGCGGGAAGUCAUUGAUGCCCUGCUUCCAGGAAAAUCUUCUAAGCUUCAGGCUAUUCGAGACCGUACCCCAAACCGACACAGGUGGUCAGGUAGAGAAUACCAAGGCGCUUGAGAGAACUCGGGUAAAGGAACUAGGCAAAAUGGUGCCGUAACUUCGGGAGAAGGCACGCCGGUGGUAUGUGACGCCCUUCGCGGGUUGAGCAGAAGCCGGUCGAAGAUACCAGGCCCCUGCGACUGUUUAUUAAAAACACAGCACUGUGCAAACACGAAAGUGGACGUAUACGGUGUGACGCCUGCCCGGUGCCGGAAGGUUAAUUGAUGGGGUUAGCGCUUGCGCGAAGCUCUUGAUCGAAGCCCCGGUAAACGGCGGCCGUAACAAUAACGGUCCUAAGGUAGCGAAAUUCCUUGUCGGGUAAGUUCCGACCCGCACGAAAGGUGUAACGAUCUGGAUACUGUCUCAGAGAGAGACUCGGUGAAAUAAAAAUAUCUGUGAAGAUGCGGAUUACCUGUACGCGGACAGAAAGACCCUAUGAAGCUUUACUGUAACCUGGAAUUGCUCUCAAGCUUAUCUUGCGCAGCUUAGGUGGGAGACGUUGAAGUCCUUUCUCCGGAAAGGAUGGAGUCAUCAGUGAGAUACCACUCUUGGUAAGCUAGAGCGCUCAUUUCUAACCGUUAUCCGGUAGAAAGACAGUUUCAGGCGGGCAGUUUGACUGGGGCAGUCACCUCCCAAAAGGUAAUGGAGGUGUACAAAGGUUCUCUCAGGCUGGACGGAAAUCAGCCAUAGAGUGUAAAAGCAUAAGAGAGCUUGACUGCGAGACUGACAUGUCAAGCAGAGACGAAAGUCGGUUUUAGUGAUCCGACGGUGCUGAGUGGAAAGGCCGUCGCUCAACGGAUAAAAGUUACUCUAGGGAUAACAGGCUAAUCUCCCCCAAGAGUUCACAUCGACGGGGAGGUUUGGCACCUCGAUGUCGGCUUAUCGCAUCCUGGAGCGGAAGUACGUUCCAAGGGUUGGGCUGUUCGCCCAUAGAAAGCGGUACAUGAGCUGGGUUCAGAACGUCGUGAGACAGUUUGGUCCAUAUCCCGUAUAGGCGUUUAGAGCAUUGAGAGGAUCUCCCCUUUGUACGAGAGGACCAGGUGGGGACAAACCGCUAGUGUACCAGUUAUUCCGCCAGGGGUAAACGCUGGGUAGCUAUGUUUGGAGUAAAUAACUGCUGAAAGCAUAUAAGUAGGAAGUUCACCUUAAGAUGAGUGCUCUUUUGUCAAUGUCUAGUUUGACAGAAAAGACAAGGAAGGUCACGGUAAGACUAACCGUUUGAUAGGCG
rnacentral:rRNA from 1 species